AUGUAAUUUAUUAAUUCUUUGAUUCAGACAUUGAAGAUUUGUUAUCAAAACAACAUUUAAAGUUUAAAAAUCAAUCAUCUUCAACAAUUACAACACAAACUAAUUUUCGUGGUUUUAAAAACUAUAUCAAUUUGAUCCUGUAUAUUUGUACAAAGAUAUCAUGAGUGUUUGUUCCAGCAAUAAAGUCAUAUAUGAAAGAUUUAAAAAGCUUCAUCAACUUACAACAACAGACUCUAGAUUCCAAUAUUAGACUAAAUUUAGACCUAAAAGGUUGUGACAAAACCCUGAAGAUUUAAUCAAAAAAAAAUGUGUUUUGAGUUUAUAAAUAUUGUAAAUAUGUUACUAUUGAAAAAGUUUAUUAAAUUGCAUUUGCAUGCAUUUACUUGUAUAUUCUAGUUUAAAAAAGUUUAUUAUAUA
rnacentral:lncRNA from 1 species